rnacentral:rRNA from 1 species
ACAUGCAGUCGAGCGGCAGCGCGUCUAGUUUACUAGAUGGCGGCGAGCGGCGGACGGCUGAGUAACGCGUGGGAACGUGCCCCAAAGUGAGGAAUAACUGCCCGAAAGGGUAGCUAAUGCCGCAUAUGAUCUUCGGAUUAAAGUCUUCGGACGCUUUGGGAGCGGCCCGCGUCGGAUUAGGUUGUUGGUAGGGUAAUGGCCUACCAAGCCGACGAUCCGUAGCUGGUCUGAGAGGAUGAUCAGCCAGACUGGAACUGAGACACGGUCCAGACUCCUACGGGAGGCAGCAGUGAGGAAUCUUCCACAAUGGGCGAAAGCCUGAUGGAGCAACGCCGCGUGAAGGAUGAAGGCCCUCGGGUUGUAAACUUCUUUUAUGAGUGAAGAAUAUGACGGUAACUCAUGAAUAAGCACCGGCUAACUACGUGCCAGCAGCCGCGGUCAUAUGUAGGGUACAAGCAUUAUCCGGAGUGACUGGGCGUAAAGAGUUGCGUAGGCGGUUAGUAAAGCGAAUAGUGAAACCUGGUGGCUCAACCAUACAGACUAUUAUUCGAACUCACUAACUCGAGAAUGGUAGACGUAACUGGAAUUUCUAGUGUAGGAGUGAAAUCCGUAGAUAUUAGAAGGAACACCAAUGGCGUAGGCAGGUUACUGGACCAUUUCUGACGCUAAGGCACGAAAGCGUGGGGAGCGAACCGGAUUA